GACAUUUUGAAAUAGAAAAAUGGUCUUUAGUCCUACUUAAUAAGUUAUCUGGUGCUCCGUGACUGCAAAAAUGUUGAGAGUCAUUGCUAUAAGGCAGUCAAGUGUAUUUCUAGUAUUUUUGAAUUUAUUUUUAUUAUUAUAUGUUUAUUUGUUGAUCCAUUGUUACUAUCCAAGUUACUAAGUUAAUUCACUAUAAUAUCUAGCGUACAAAAUC